rnacentral:lncRNA from 1 species
CUGUGAAACCUUACUCUUUUAUCUCUCUUUCUGUUGUUGUAUCAAAAUGAGAGCCGAAGCUCUCAUUUUAUAGGCAAAGAUUUGGAGAGAGUAGCACACCAUUUAUGACAAUUCAGCACACCUAAAUUGAAAAAACAAUAAAAACAUGGGCUGCUGAUUUUUGGCAGCCAUUAUUGAAAAAACAAGGAAGAAGUUUCUUCCUUGAUAAGUGGGCUGGACCCCACAA